UACGAAGGGGGCUAGCGUUGUUCGGAAUUACUGGGCGUAAAGGGCGCGUAGGCGGUCCUGAUCGUCGGAUGUGAAAGGCCUGGGCUCAACCUGGGAAUGGCAUCUGAUACGGCGGGACUGGAGUGUGGGAGAGGUUGGUGGAAUUCCCAGUGUAGAGGUGAAAUUCGUAGAUAUUGGGAAGAACACCGGUGGCGAAGGCGGCUAACUGGACCACAACUGACGCUGAGGCGCGAAAGCGUGGGGAGCAAACAGG
rnacentral:rRNA from 1 species